rnacentral:rRNA from 1 species
AACGAACGCUGGCGGCAUGCCUAACACAUGCAAGUCGAACGAGACCUUCGGGUCUAGUGGCGCACGGGUGCGUAACGCGUGGGAACCUGCCCUUAGGUUCGGAAUAACUCCCCGAAAGGGGUGCUAAUACCGGAUAAUGUCUUCGGACCAAAGAUUUAUCGACUUUGGAUGGGCCCGCGUUGGAUUAGCUAGUUGGUAGGGUAAAAGCCUACCAAGGCGACGAUCCAUAGCUGGUCUGAGAGGAUGAUCAGCCACACUGGGACUGAGACACGGCCCAGACUCCUACGGGAGGCAGGAGUGGGGAAUAUUGGAAAAUGGGCGAAAGCCUGAUCCAGCAAUGCCGCGUGAGUGAUGAAGGCCUUAGGGUUGUAAAGCUCUUUUACCCGGGAUGAUAAUGACAGUACCGGGAGAAUAAGCUCCGGCUAACUCCGUG